rnacentral:rRNA from 1 species
GACGAACACUGGCGGCGUGCUUAACACAUGCAAGUCGAACGGUAAGGCCCUUCGGGGUACACGAGUGGCGAACGGGUGAGUAACACGUGGGUGAUCUGCCCUGCACUUCGGGAUAAGCCUGGGAAACUGGGUCUAAUACCGGAUAGGACUCCUGGCUUCAUGGUUGGGGGUGGAAAGCUUUUGCGGUGUGGGAUGGGCCCGCGGCCUAUCAGCUUGUUGGUGGGGUAAUGGCCUACCAAGGCGACGACGGGUAGCCGGCCUGAGAGGGUGACCGGUCACACUGGGACUGAGAUACGGCCCAGACUCCUACGGGAGGCAGCAGUGGGGAAUAUUGCACAAUGGGCGCAAGCCUGAUGCAGCGACGCCGCGUGAGGGAUGACGGCCUUCGGGUUGUAAACCUCUCUCAGCACCGACGAAGCGCAAGUGACGGUAGGUGCAGAAGAAGGACCGGCCAACUACGUGCCAGCCGCCGCGGUAA